rnacentral:lncRNA from 1 species
GGUUUGGAUGCUCUGGUGCGCAGUAAGGAUCUGGAUCUGGAGAGAACACAGGAGAGCUGCCGGAAACUGGAGUGGAUGAAACAGCAGAGCGAUCAGAAACACACGCUCGCUGUACGGGAGAGAGACGGCAUCAUUCAUCAGCUGCAGACGGCGCUGCGCUCACACAGCAGAGAGAGCGAGGAGCUCAGGUCAGUGUUGCUGGGAGAAGUGUCCUCCACUGACGUGCUCCAGGAGCUCCAGUCCCAUCUGUCCGUGAAGGAGCGUCUGUUUCAGGAAGUGAUGUCAGACCGCAGCCGGCAGACGCAGGAACACCACAGACAGCUGACGGAGCUGCUCCACACCAUCAGCUCCAGAGAUCAGGACAUGAAGGUGCAGCUGAUCGUCAGGAACACACUUCAUAACUGUCUGCUGGCUGGUUUCUUUAUCAUGUUUGACGUGUUCUGGUCUCUCAGGAUUAUGGCCAGCGGUUGGGCCGGGUGAUUUCCGAGCGAUCGGGUCAGUUGCAGGAGUUGCGCCGACAGCUAGCGUCACGAGAACAGGAGCUGAAUGACGUGAACAGGCAGCGAGAGAAAGAUGUUUCUGCGUCCAGAGAGCUGCAGAGACUUCAGAACGUUCUCAAGGAGAAAGACGCCUUUAUACAGGAGUUACUGCGGGGUCCGAGUGAGAUGUUGAACUCCACACCAGCACCAGCUCAGGGUGAGUUUCACUGCGGUACCUCCCACAUUUGAUCAAUUAAAAUUAUUGAUUCACUUCAUUCUGUGUGUGUGUGUGUGUUUAUGGUGAGCAGCCGUGUGUACGAGCAGCUCAGUUGAUCUGGAUGUACAAGCCAUCAGAGAUGAACUACAGCUGACCCUGAAGAAAGACAGAGAGACUGAGGUAAAACACACACACAUAUCAUCUACAUCAUGUACACACAUGUAGAUCAUGUAAUUUUUACCUAGUUUUCACUUCUCUGUCUGUGUGUGUGUGUUUAGCGGGAGCUCUCAGAGAUGCGCUCGGUUCUGGCUGCAGGGCAUUACGACACAUCAAGCUCUGAUCGGCAGUGUGUCCUGCAGCAGCUCGUGUCGGAGCAGCAGGCGCUGAAUGAAGCUCUGAGAGCAGAGAAGGGUGUUUAUGAGAAGCUCAGACGUGUCCAGAGUCAGGACGACAGCGCUGAGAAGCCUGGAGCGCUGCACGCCGAACUGGACUCGCUUCAGGCGCUGCGCCAACAGCUGGAAGAAACCCUGACGAGGGCCCGCGAGACGGCGCUGGUGCUGGAUCGGGCUGCGCUGAUCCAGACCGACUAUGGAGAAUCCAGCAGUGAUGAAGAUGAAGACGAUCGUGACAGCAGCAGCAGUGAGGAGUUCCCAGACAGCAUAGAGGACGAUGAGAUCAAACUGACGGCUCAGAGUCUGACGAGCGCGCAGAGAGCUGAGGAGUUCGGCAGGGAGCUGAUGUCUUGCAAUGCAUCAGAGCAGAGAAACCAAGAUGAAAGUGAGUCGGGCUGCUCCUCACUCGCUCGGUCCAGGUACCAAAUCCAUCACCUUCAGAUCGCUUGUGUUUGCUGGCGUCUUCCUGCUCUGAUGUAAUCGUAUCUCUCGCAGGAACGCUCUGAAUGAAGACGAGUCUGGAUUAGCAGCGGAUAAGGAGGAAUCUGUCAGGUGUCGAGGGUCGGAGAAGCGUGAAACAGAAAGGCCAAACUCCCGUGAGCCUCAGAGAGUUUACCGUACGUUCCAAGAGGAGGAGGAGGAAGAAUAUGAUGAUGAAGAUGGAGAGGAAGGGGAAGAUGUAAGGGGCCCUCAGGGCAAGCGUGGGCCCCCGAGUGUGAAGCUGCGGGAGGGGAGGUGGAAGAGGAGGUGCACCAGACCUCAUUCCCUGGACCUCGGAGCUCUGCUGUCUCACAAACCUGCAGCCCAGCACACAGUUCAGGUGAUGCAUCAUUAGCCAAAUAACUAGCACUGGUUAACACUAACCAGCUUCAUUUUCAUACAGCAAAGUACAGACUGUUGUACUAAAGAAUUCAGGUAAGAACAGUGGGUUUGUGAAGGAUUCUGUGUUUGUUUUGUGAUCAGGAUGUAAGAAUGAAACGGGUCGUGGGUGACAGCAGCGGUUUGAGCCCAGGAGGGAGUGGAGCCAUCGGCUUCUGGCAGCACGUGGAGGUAGGGCUUCGGGAGCAGGCGGAGCGUCUCCGUAGCGACCUCGCCGUGAGUCGUCAGGAGAGCCGCGAGCUGCAGGAGAGACUGAUGGUGUCAGAGGCAACGGUGCAAGCGCAGGCAGAACAACUGAAAGACUACAGAGAGCUGCUGAGUGAGGAGACACACACAUACAUACACUAUACUUACACGCACAGACACACACACACACAUCAAGUCACCAUUAUUUAUAUAGCGCUUUUUACAAUGCAGAUUGUGUUAAAGCAGCUUUACAGUAUUAAACAGGGAAAUAGUGUGUCGAAAUAGUGUUCUGUUCUCCUCUGGCCAGACUAAACCAGCAGUUUAAUUCUAGGCUGCAACAAAGUCAGGUUGUGCAGAGGACUCAUCUGGUUCCUGUGGUCUUGUCCCGGUGGCCAAGACAAGGUCUUUGGAGGAGAUCUGUCUCUGGGGCUCAUCUAGUUGUCCUGGUCUCUGCUGACAUUCAGGGCUGUAGAAGUCAUCUCUAGGUGCUGAUCCACCAUCUGAUCUGGAUACAGACUGGAUCUGGUGGCUACGGUGACCUCGGAAUAAGAGAGAAACAAACUAAUAUUAUUGUAGAUGCCAUUCUUCUAACGAUGUAGCAAGUACAUCGGGUGUUAUGGGAAGUGUUCCCGGUUCCGAUUGUCCUAAUUAAUGCAGCCUAACAAUCCUUUAACGGAUUUGAAUAAUAGAAAUGUGUUAGUGUGUUAUGUGAAAGCCAGGUUAAAGAGAUGGGUCUUUAAUCUAGAUUUAAACUGACAGAGUGUGUCUGCCUCCCGAACAGUGUUAGGUAGGUUAUUCCAGAGUUUGGGCGAUAAAUAGGAAAAUGAUCUGCUGCCCGCAGUUGAUUUUGAUAUUCUAGGUAUUAUCAAAUGGCCAGAGUUUUGAGAACGCAGCAGACGUGGAGGACUAUAAUGCAAUAAGAGCUCGUUCAAAUACUGAGGUGCUAAACCAUUCAGGUCUAUAUAGGUAAUUAGCAAGAUUUUAUAAUGUAUACGAUGUUUAAUAGGGAGCCAGUGCAGUGUUGACAGAACCGGGCUAAUAUGGUCAUACUUCCUGGUUCUAGUAAGAACUCUAGCUGCUGCAUUUUGGACCAGCUGGAGUUUGUUUAUUAAGCGUGCAGAACAACCACCCAAUAAAGCAUUACAAUAAUCUAACCUUGAGGUCAUAAACGCAUGGAUUAACGUUUCUGCAUUUGACAUUGAGAGCAUAGGUCGUGAUUUAGAUAUAUUUUUGAGAUGGAAAAAUGCAGUUUUACAAAAUGUUAGAAACAUGGCUAUUGAAGGAAAGAUUGCUAACAAAUAGCACACCUAGGUUCCUAACUGAUGACGAAGAAUUGACAGAGCAGCCAUCAAGUGUUAUAUAGUGUUCUAGGUCAUUACAUGUGGAGGUUUUUAGUCCUAUAAUUAACACCUGUUUUUUCAGAAUUUAACAGUAAGAAAUUACUAGUCAUCCAUUUCGACUAUGCAUUCCUUGAGUUUUGCAAAUUGGUAUGUUUCGUCGGGCCGUGAAGAAAUAUAGAGCUGAGUAUCAUCAGCAUAACACCGUGUUUCCUGAUGAUAUUCCUGAUGAGAUCUCCCAAGGGU